UAAGAAAAAACCAAAAAAUAUUUUCUGGAAAUAUUUUCCAUCAUACCAAACACACCCUAUGACUCAUCAGUUUAUCUGGAAAAAGGGCGGUGAUUAUACUUUCUAUAAAGUUCCAAAUAAGUCUGAUUACUUCCUCCAGAGCUUUGGUGUUCAUCUUGCUUAGGUGCAAGCUGAUGAGGUUAUAGUAGCCACACCAACUGGAAGUACGACUUAUUCUACGGCUGCUGGAGGUUCCAUGGUACCUAUUAUAGCCUGAAAGAUGUGAAACUUUUUAACCUACAUGAAUAGUUGAACAUAUGUGUGCUAAAAAUGCCACAAGCAAUGAGUUGUAUCCACAACAAAGAAUAAGCUAAAGCUGACAGCUUGAGCAGUUUGUUGUGGCAAUAAUGAACUGCUGAAAAAGAAGCAGUACACCACUCCUUCCCCUCUCUAGACGAAAUAAGAGCAGAAGAGAUAGAAAACAAAGAAGACUGCAUUAUGCACUUAAUAUAUAGUAAAGAUAUAUAAGUUUCAUGACAUAUUUUACAGAGCUGUUGGUAGAAGAGUGAUUCCUCAUGUCAAUAGUUAACUCUUGAUGUGGAAACGGAGGGAUGCUGUCGCAUUUGGGUUCCUGAUUAGAAACCUACUAUUGAUUUUUCUGGAAAAGGUUCAAAACCCAUCAUUGAUUACCAAAAACACCAAUGGCAAGACUUCUUUAUAUGGUUCUGUAUUCAAUGGUAUUGAUGUUUAUGGUUCUUAGCUGCUUUACAUAAUCUCAUAUUGAUCAAGUUGUUUACUUCUUUUCACUUCCUAUUUAUUAUUCAUGAUAAAGCAAUAAAUGCAUAAUCUUGUCUUCAGCUCAUAUUUGGUUUACUGAUUGAGAACAGUGGAGAUCAUAAAAUUCUCUCAUAAACUGGCACUCUUAGUGUUAAUGUGUGCAAUAAGGCCAUAACCUAAAGCAGUCAAAUCACGUUGUCAGCAAGUAUGAACAAAUUGGAUGAACUAUGUGCAUGGUUGACAUUCUUGGGCGUAAUGGGAAACUGCUUUCCGGCCUAAUAGGAGACACAUGCAUUUUGGUAAAGGUGACUGGCACUGAUUUUGGUAAAGUAAUUGAUUAGUUGUAAAGGUGACUUUAAUUCUCUUAUAUGAAUUUGAUUAUGAUUUUCAGCUGGCUAGACAUGUUUUCAUUGUAUAUUUGUUGUGUUGACUUUUGCUGAUAGUCUGAAUAUGUUUUAUUUAAAAUAAGAAUUUUAUAUACUAAGUAUGAAUUUGUACUCACAUGUGUCUUUUCCACAGCUUAUUAUGCAGGUUGUGAAUCCAGCUCUUUGGGUCCUUAAAUUUGAAGAUUCUAAUGUAGUAGUUGGUCUCCUUUUGUACUUCAUGCUUUAUGAUUUGAUUAUCUUUUGUUAAUUUUUUAAUUAAAAUUUAUUAUUUAAUUAAAUUUUGUAAAUGAAAAUAGUCUUAACAAAAUUAAUAUUUUAUAUAAACUUUUAUUUAAAGUA